rnacentral:rRNA from 1 species
UACUAAUUUUUGAUUUACAUUAAAAAUUUUUUAAGAAAUUACAUACAUGGAAUUAAUGAAGUUAUUAGGUUAAUAAAUUUUACCUUUUGUAUAAUGGUUACACCAUAAAUUUAUAAUAUUAUAUUUCCCGAAUUGCGAAGAGCUAUCUAUUAACUUUGCUUAGAAUUUAUAGGUUAUGUUGAAAUAUGGCCUUAAGAUUAGUAGAUAGGAGCGAAAAACUUUCAAUUCUCAAGAUACCUGGUAGUCUUAGAAAAGCAUGUAGUGCUGAAAAAUUAUAUAUGAAGUGAUGAGGCUUUAUAUUAAUAGAAUUUAAGAUGUAUAUAAUUAAUUUCUAGAGUUAACCCUAUUGAAAUUUUUUAUUAAAAAUAUUUAUUUCUUAAUUAUCUAUAGAUUAUAAGACUUUUCUAUAUAAUUUGAUUUAGAAUUAAUAAUGUGUAAAUAAGUAGUAAAAUAAAAUAUUUUAUCAUAUUAUAAAAUUAAUUUAACGUUUUAAUUAUUUUUAAAAAUAAAUAAAAGGAAUUCGGCAAUUAUAAACUUCGACUGUUUAACAAAAACAUAGCCUUAGGAAAUAAUCUAAGGUUAUACCUGCCCAAUGUGAAAAUUUUAAUGAAUGGCCGCGGUACUUUGACCGUGCUAAGGUAGCGCAAUCAAUUGGUUUUUAAUUGGAGCCAGGAAUGAAUGGAGUUACGGGGUUUAACUGUCUCUUAUUUAAUUUAUCGAAAUUACUAUAUAGGUGAAAAAGCCUAUAGCUAGAAAAAAGACGAGAAGACCCUUAGAGUUUUACUAAAAUUGAGUUAAUUUCUCAUAACAGUUUAGUUGGGGCAACGUAGGAGCAUUAAAAGUUAAUCUCCUUAAAAUAAUUUAUCGAUUAUUUUAGUAUUGAAUAAACUACCUUAGGGAUAACAGCAUAAUUUUAUUAAUAAGUUUGUGACCUCGAUGUUGGACUGGGAAACUUAAUGGUUAGCCGCCUUUAAGGUAAGUUCUGUUCGAACUAUAAUUCCCACAUGAUCUGAGUUCAGACCGGCGUAAGCCAGGUCAGAUUCUAUCUUUUUAUUUUAAAAGCUUAGUACGAAAGGACCAGUUUUUAGUAUUAUUUAUAUAUA